UGGCCACAUCCCUAUUAACAGAGGCAGC
rnacentral:piRNA from 1 species